rnacentral:lncRNA from 1 species
AUAUAUAUAUAUAUAUAUUACUUAUAUAUAUAAAUCUUAAUUAAACCAAUCCAAUAUCUAAAAAUAUCUAGAUAUUUAUCAAAAUUACUAUUUCACCCAUAACCUCUCAAACCAUUUGAUAAAAAUAUUCGCAACUCAAUUGGCAGAUGAAUUUUUCUGAAUAACUCUGUAGCUCAUAAAAUUUUCUUUUCGACAAGAGAUUAAUCGUAAAUCAAUAAAAUUAUUCCUCGACGAAUAAAUUUAAUCGGAGCUCCAAAAAGAUAUUUUUGGCAUUAAACUCACAAAAUAUUAAUAACUUGGCUAAAAAGCCUCAAAGUUCAAUACCAAAAUACACUAAAAUACAUAAAUUAGAAUUUAAAACUAUGGGUCUUACAAGAACCAGAAUAAAUAGCCAACAAAUCAAAUAAAAAUAGCAACAAUUUUAAAGAUAAGACCACACUAAUUUAGAAAAACAUAAACAUAAAAACAACAAUUAAAUCAAGAAAAUAUCAAAAAAAAUUAAAAAACAGAAAACAACAAUAUAAUAAAUAUUAAAAAAAAAAAAAACAGCAACAAUAAAAUUUACAAGGCAAUUAAAUUAAUACUACAACUAUUUUUCUAUUUCCAAUUCAACCAUUUUUACUAUAGAUUCAUAAACACGUAUUAACUAACAAGAUCAAAAUACAUUAAUCACUCAUCCACAAAAUUAACGUAUAACAUGAAUUGCAAGAGGGAAGCCCUUAUCUUAGGUAUUUUUCUUCCAAAUAACACAUCAUAAACCCCACAAUUCGAAGAACAAGAGAAAGGUCCAAGCUCUUGAAAUGAAUAAUUUGUAUUAAAUUUCCUCCUUCGAUGAAUAAUAUCAAAAGUGAGUGUUGAACUAAAAUUACCUUGAGAUGAUACUAAGAGGAAGACAAGAAAUUAAAAUUCAACUUGAUGGUGGUGGUCGUGCAUGUGGGCGUGAGGUUGCUAAAGGAAGAAUCAUGUUUUUCUUUUCUUUUCUUUCCUUUGUUUUGUAGAGAAAAACAAGUGUAGGUGUGGAAAAAUGAAUAAGAAGUCGCUUAUCUAUAGACCACCCUUUUAAUUUUUUCCGUUAACUACACUUAUCUUUUGUAGCAAAACAAAAUCAUCAUUUUCGUCAUGCUAAAGAGAGGGACGAAAUUUCUAUACCACAGAAAUAGGAUAUUUUUGUUCUCUCUAUUACACAAAAGAAAAACCACAAAACCCAUCAUUUAAUUUGUAACCUCCCUUUAAAAGAUGAAUUAAAAAUGGUAAGAAGGAGAGAGGGGAGUUAGUCAAUAAUGAGGGAAUGUUCAU